CGAAUGCUGACAUAAGUAACGAUAAAGCGGGUGAAAAGCCCGCUCGCCGGAAGACCAAGGGUUCCUGUCCAACGUUAAUCGGGGCAGGGUGAGUCGACCCCUAAGGCGAGGCCGAAAGGCGUAGUCGAUGGGAAACAGGUUAAUAUUCCUGUACUUGGUGUUACUGCGAAGGGGGGACGGAGAAGGCUAUGUUGGCCGGGCGACGGUUGUCCCGGUUUAAGCGUGUAGGCUGGUUUUCCAGGCAAAUCCGGAAAAUCAAGGCUGAGGCGUGAUGACGAGGCACUACGGUGCUGAAGCAACAAAUGCCCUGCUUCCAGGAAAAGCCUCUAAGCAUCAGGUAACAUCAAAUCGUACCCCAAACCGACACAGGUGGUCAGGUAGAGAAUACCAAGGCGCUUGAGAGAACUCGGGUGAAGGAACUAGGCAAAAUGGUGCCGUAACUUCGGGAGAAGGCACGCUGAUAUGUAGGUGAAGUCCCUCGCGGAUGGAGCUGAAAUCAGUCGAAGAUACCAGCUGGCUGCAACUGUUUAUUAAAAACACAGCACUGUGCA
rnacentral:rRNA from 1 species